AGUGAACGCUGGCGGCGUGCCUAACACAUGCAAGUCGAACGAUGAUGGUGGAGCUUGCUCUAUCUGAUUAGUGGCGCACGGGUGAGUAAUGCAUAGAUAAUGUGCCCCUUAGUUUGGGAUAGCCACUGGAAACGGUGAUUAAUACCAGAUACUCCUUCGCAUUAUAAGAUGCGUCGGGAAAGUUUUUUCGCUAAGGGAUCAGUAUAUGUCUUCUCAGAUAGUUGGGGGGGUAAUGGCUCACCAAGGCAAUGACUGGUAUCUGGUUUGAGAGGAUGAUCAGACACACUGGAACUGAGACACGGUCCAGACUCCUACGGGAGGCAGCAGUGAGGAAUAUUGCACAAUGGAGGAAACUCUGAUGCAGCAACGCCGCGUGGAGGAUGACGCAUUUCGGUGUGUAAACUCCUUUUAUUAGGGAAGAUUAUGACGGUACCUAAUGAAUAAGCACCGGCUAACUCCGUGCCAGCCGCCGCCGUAA
rnacentral:rRNA from 1 species